rnacentral:rRNA from 1 species
GACGAACGCUGGCGGCGUGCUUAACACAUGCAAGUCGAACGGUAAGGCCCUUCGGGGUACACGAGUGGCGAACGGGUGAGUAACACGUGCGUGAUCUGCCCUGCACUUCGGGAUAAGCCUGGGAAACUGGGUCUAAUACCGGAUAGGACCACUGCCUGCAUGGCGGGUGGUGGAAAGCUUUUGCGGUGUGGGAGGGGCCCGCGGCCUAUCAGCUUGUUGGUGGGGUGAUGGCCUACCAAGGCGACGACGGGUAGCCGGCCUGAGAGGGUGACCGGCCACACUGGGACUGAGGUACGGCCCAGACUCCUACGGGAGGCAGCAGUGGGGAAUAUUGCACAAUGGGCGCAAGCCUGAUGCAGCGACGCCGCGUGAGGGAUGACGGCCUUCGGGUUGUAAACCUCUUUCAGCACCGACGAAGCGCAAGUGACGGUAGGUGCAGAAGAAGGACCGGCCAACUACGUGCCAGCCGCCGCCGUAA